rnacentral:rRNA from 1 species
GACGAACGCUGGCGGCGUGCUUAACACAUGCAAGUCGAACGGAAAGGCCCUGCUUUUGUGGGGUGCUCGAGUGGCGAACGGGUGAGUAACACGUGAGUAACCUGCCCUUGACUUUGGGAUCACUUCAGGAAACUGGGGCUAAUACCGGAUAGGAGCUCCUGCUGCAUGGUGGGGGUUGGAAAGUUUCGGCGGUUGGGGAUGGACUCGCGGCUUAUCAGCUUGUUGGUGGGGUAGUGGCUUACCAAGGCUUUGACGGGUAGCCGGCCUGAGAGGGUGACCGGCCACAUUGGGACUGAGAUACGGCCCAGACUCCUACGGGAGGCAGCAGUGGGGAAUAUUGCACAAUGGGCGGAAGCCUGAUGCAGCAACGCCGCGUGCGGGAUGACGGCCUUCGGGUUGUAAACCGCUUUCGCCUGUGACGAAGCGUGAGUGACGGUAAUGGGUAAAGAAGCACCGGCUAACUACGUG